rnacentral:rRNA from 1 species
UACGUAGGGUCCGAGCGUUGUCCGGAAUUACUGGGCGUAAAGGGCUCGUAGGCGGCCAACUAAGUCGGAUGUGAAAUCCCCAAGCUUAACUUGGGAACUGCAUCCGAUACUGGAUGGCUUGAAUCCGGGAGAGGGAUGCAGAAUUCCAGGUGUAGCGGUGAAAUGCGUAGAUAUCUGGAGGAACACCGGUGGCGAAGGCGGCAUCCUGGACCAACACUGACGCUCAUGCACGAAAGCGUGGGGAGCAAACAGG